rnacentral:lncRNA from 10 species
AGCUUCGGAAAAUGGCUGCCCGGCUGGACGCCGCCGCGCUUGGGCUUUCAGUUCGGAGUCGCGGCCACACUAGGCCUAGGGCCAUCCAAUGAGACAAGGCGCUGCCACGGAUAACAAUACAUGCUCAGGCGAAUGCUGUAGAGCUGAGGCCCGGUCCUCAGCCCCUGCUCGCCUCAUUUUCGCCUGUUUACCUCUUCCCUUUCUCGGCCGCAGGAGGAAACGAAAGAACAGUUUCAGGCCCAGCUCCGGCCGCGGGAGCUUCCCAGGGUUCCCGCGCGAGCCCUCCCAAAGGGUUCAGGAGCGGCAGGCAGGCCUCAUCUGGUUGUGUGCUUCCUUUUGUGUUUGUGUGCCUGCUUUGGUGAGGUGACCUCAGCUCAAGUGCUGCAGUUAAGCAGGAUACGUUCAGCCCAAAUCCAUUUAAUCAAGUAUUUUUAAGGUGCCUACUAUGUGCCAGGCAUUUUUCAAGGCGCGAGGGAUGUAAAGGCAUUCCCUGUCAUAAAGGAGCAUUACAUUCUGGAGAGGGAGAUACAAGUGACGCUAAGAUAAGUGAUAGAUACGAUAGCCUGGAAAGACCUCUUUGAGUUGACAUUUGAGCAGAGCUGAAUGAAAAAGCUUGGAGGAAUCUGAGGGAAGAAUGGUGCGGGCAGAGAGAACAGCAAGUUACAAACGUCCUGAAGCUUAAUGUGGUUGGUGUUUUGAAAAGAAGCAAGGAGGCCAGGGCGCUUAGAGCGCAGUCAAUUUGGGAAAUAAGAUGGGAGGAGAUGAGAUGAGUGAGAAAGGCAGGACCCUGGGUAAGCCGAGUAAGGAGAUGGGAGUCGUUAGAUGAUUCUGAGCUGGGGAGUGGCGGGAUUACACGUUGACCUUCAAGAGUACAAGCAGGGUCGGGCGUGGUGGCUCACGCUUGUAAUCCCAGCACGUUGGGAGGCCAAGGCGGGCUGAUCUCUUGAGGUCGGGAAUUCGAGACCAGCCUGACCAACAUGGAGAAACCCCGUCCCUACUAAAAAUACAAAAUUAGCCGGGCGUGGUGGCGCAGGCCUGUAAUCCCAGCUACUCCGGAGGCUGAGGCAGGAGAAUCGCUUGAACCCAGGAGGCGGAGGUUGCGGUGAGCCGAGAUCGCCUCACUGCACUCCAGCCUGGGCAACCAGAGCAAAACUCUGUCUCAAAAAAAGAAAAGUACCAGCGGAAAGGUCAGCCAAGAUGCUGGUUCAAUAAGCCAAGGAAUAAAUUAUGGUAGUCUGGAAUAAGAUGGUGGGAUGUUGAAAACUGGUAGGGUUCAAGAUAUAUUUUGAGCACAGCCAACGAGCUCUACUGAUGGAUUGGCUGUAUGAUAAUGUAAGAAAAAACAGGUCGGGUAGCCAGGGCCGGUGGACCGCUUGAACCCAGGAGUUCAAGAUCAGCCUGGGCAACAUGGCAAGACCCAUCGCUACAAAAAACUCCAAAAAUUGGCCGUGCGUGGUGGCACGUGCCUGUAGUCCCAGCCACUCGGGAGGAUGAGGGAGGAGGAUCCCCUGGCUGCAGUGAGCCGAGAUGCACCACUGCACUCCAGCCUGGGCAACAGUGUGAGGCCCUGCCCUCCACCCUCCCACCCGAAAAAAGAAAAAAAAACAAAGAGUAACGAUUUUUUUUUUAACCUGAGCAACUCAGUGUUGGUCCUUGCUAAAAUGGGGGUCUUAGUAGGCUCAAUGGGAAGGAUCAUCGUUCUUAGAAUAUUAAGAUUGAGGUGUUUAACGUACAAACAGAUGUUGAACCAGCAGAUCACGAAAUACACAAGGACAAGAUUAGAAAAUGUAUAUAGGUCAGUCUUAGCCAUUGUGCACCACAGAGUGGCAGUGUCUCAUUUUCUAGUACUAGCAUAAUUAUUGCUACUUUCAAACUCUACGAGAACAGAUAAGCAAUUCUACUUUCCCAUAUUCCUGAGAUCCUAUUGUCUGCAGCCACUAUUCUUCCUGUACACAAUGUGUGGUAUCAGUUAAGAUUCAUUUGCGGAAAAUAGAAUCCAUUUUAGCUAGUAUAAACACAAAGAUAUUGAAUACUUGGGAGGGUUGAUUAAAUAGGCUCUAGAUUAGUUUUUCAGGAAUGAGUCCCAAAGUCUUCCCAGAACCAGGCCACCAAGGAAGCAAUGACUCUUCUAUGAUCAGGAAAUGACGUCUCUGAAUCACACUGCUGCUGCCAUGCCUAGGAAACCACCAUCAGAAAGCUGCGUGCACCGCUGACCCUAGAACCACACUAUACCCACUAUGAUCUGCACCAGUGCCAUGCAUAUCCUACGUCCCGUCUGUCAAGGCCCACAGGACAAGUGGCUAGACACUGAGGUUUCUGCUAAUGCUGCUUCAGAAAAAUCAAACACCUCCACAACUGUGCUUGUCAACAGCAAUAGCAGAAGUUUGGUGUGUCUCUGGCAAUAUGAUUAAUGUAAAAAUUUAAUAUGCUUCUCAUUCUUUUGCUUUCAGUCAGUUGUUUGUGGGAGAAAUUCUAGCCACAGUUCUUGCCUAGAUGAGUUUUUAAGCCCCGAAACUUUUUUCCCAGUUUCUGUGUGCUCCCCAGUUACCCCACUCUUAAUGACAGCUAAUCCCUUUGGAAACAAUGGGAUUUAAUAGGUUCACAGCAUUCUCAAUCCUAUAUUUGUCAGUCUUGUGUGGGUAAAUGCCAGGCAUAUUUCCUUCCAAAGUUUCACAGGCACUGUUUCUGUGUACAGUCAUCCCUUGGUAUCCAUGGGGGAUUGGUUCCAGGACCGUUAUGGAUAUCAAAAUCCGAGGAUGCUCAAGUCCCAUAUAUAAAAUGGCAUAGUAUUUGCAUACAACUUAUGCACAUCCCACCUAUACUUUAAAUCAUCUCUAGAUUACUUAAUUACCUAAUACAAUGCCUACACAUCAUUCACAUGGAUUUAACAUAGUAUUUAACACUUGGCAC